CCUACGGGCGGCAGCAGUGAGGAAUAUUGGUCAAUGGGCGCGAGCCUGAACCAGCCAAGUAGCGUGAAGGAUGACGGUUUUCGGAUUGUAAACCUCUGUCCUCUGUGAAGUUGAUGACGGUAGCAGAGGAGGAAGCUCCGGCUAACUACGUGCCAGCAGCCGCGGUAAUACGUAGGGAGCGAGCGUUGUCCGGAUUUACUGGGUGUAAAGGGUGCGUAGGCGGCUUGGCAAGUCAGUAGUGAAAUCCAUGGGCUUAACCCAUGAACUGCUAUUGAAACUGGCGAGCUUGAGUGAAGUAGAGGUAGGCGGAAUUCGCGGUGUAGCGGUGAAAUGCGUAGAGAUCGGGAGGAACACCAGUGGCGAAGGCGGUCUACUGGGCUUUAACUGACGCUGAGGCACGAAAGCGUGGGUAGCAAACAGGAUUAGAUACCCCAGUAGUC
rnacentral:rRNA from 1 species